GCCGAGCGGCCCGGGGCCUCCUUUCGUCUCGUUCUUCCCGCACGGUUGCACUGCGAACGGACGCGCGCGGCCCGAGGAGGCGGCUUUCCUCCCGCAGAGCCGCAGCUGCGUCCCCGCCUGAGGCCGCGGUGCAGCACUGAGAGGGCACAGGGGCACUGCGAUAAAAGGCUUGUUAAUUCCGCACCGUACAUUCGUACCGUUAGUUUAAUUACUUCGGCCUUCAGCUGCUCCCAGGGAGCGGAGGGGCAGCUGAGCUCUGCUGCUCUGCAAGAGCAGCGACUGAGCCCCGGGGAACGGCACAGAGCUGCGGCCGAGCAGGGGUGGGUACAGAGAGGCGCUGCCCCAGGGCAGCGGGCACGGCCCGGCACGGCCCGGCACGGAGCUGCUCUUAGAAACACAGCUUGAACGUGGCGUCAUCGCGUGUGGAGCCAGCAGUUGGACUCACACCUUGUGGGUCCCCUUCAGGACUGUCUGUCAUUCUGUACUUAACACCUAUUGUAAUACAAAUAUUGGUGACAGAAGUGCUGCGCAGUGCACGUGCUUCAGAGUUUGGAACAGCCUAAAUGCAAAAGGCAGGAAGGAGAGCUUCACAAAAAAUAUUUUUAAUAUGUUUUUACCAGAAUUUUUCACUUUUCCAGUUACAUAGAAAAAAGGACCGGUUUGGUACGUGCUGGCUGGAAUACCUAAAACCGACCAGUGGAACAGGUUUGUCUGCACGGAUCGUUAAAACUCCUGAAUCUUCCAGCUCCACUGCGCUCAUCUCUGCCAAGCAAAUGAGCAAAACCGAGAGGAGAGGCAGGCCUUCAUCUGCUGCAGCACAUAAGCACGUUGCUGGGGAUUCCAGCAGAGGCUCACUUCCCUCAGAUACGUAUCCACCCUGCUCUUUUUGUUCCUCCACCUUCCCUAGUCUCUGUACCAGCCUGUCACACCCAGGUUAUAAGAUCCUGCUUUCAAACUGAGCGCCAGCACCUCUUUGUAAUAAAACAAGUACCUUGAAGGACAGACGUCUCUCAGUGGUUUGGAGAUGAUUCCAGCCUGAAAACAUUCCUCUACAAACCGCUCAAGCACAGAAUAGGAGUGUGGCACAUCCAGGUUAAUGUCUGGUAUUUCACAGUAAACUCGUUCAUAGCCCUGUAGUUUAAGGAUGCAAAUAAUGAUUUGGUUGUUCUGGAAUUACAGUUUUCUAAACAUCUUUUGGCACUCAGAAGAGGACUUCUUUUUAAUGCAAUUUCAUGUAUUCUUUAAGCAGUUUCAACAAACUGAAAGCAGAACACCUGCAAAUUAGUGGCAAAGCAAGGUGUCAUACCAGCCCGUUCCAAGAGCUGGUGUUACACAACAGCGUAUCUAUAUGAAUACACUAGCUGAGUAUUUCAGCUUCUUAAAAAGACAAAUCCAGACAGUACAGACUGCAUACGAUAGCCUAGCUGCUAGUAACACAAGGAAGAAGGAUUAAUUGCUCUGCCCUGUAGAUAGAGUGAAGGCCACACAUCUCAAUGAGAGAUGCAAUAAAUUACAAAUAGCGUUUAAAAGAAAAUAGAAGCUACUUGAAGAUCUCGCCCAGCAUUCUUUCAAUGCCAUACUUACUCUUUUCAUUUGGUCCAUAGUAAUGACAGAAGACCUCGAGAGAGAUUUCAGCAAAUCCAGCAUCAUUUUAAAGGUCUUUUCUCCAGUUGACUCCAAAACCAUCACAAUUGCCUAAAACAAACCAUGCAGAGGUUUUAACUAAAAAUAAAAUAGUGGUUCAAGUACAUGCUGUGUAAGCAUACCCACGUGCAAAGAAGAGUGAACAUAACACUGUUUUCUGGGAGACAAGUCCAGUUGCUACAAGCAGUCCCAAUUUGAAAGGAAAGCCAGAUAGAAAGUUAUUUGUGUAAAGAUAGAAGGUAUGAAAAAAGAGAAAGGACCAGACAGAGUGAAGAGCCCUGCCUACUGUGAGGGGUACGUGACUGCAUCUGCAUGGCUGCUGCAGCACUGAUGGCAAUUAAUUUUGUAUCUAGGAUUUUAGAACAAGAACUCCUAAGUUCAAAAUGUACCAGUCUCCACAAACCCCAUCAACAACAGGUAUCAGUUUUCUAUCCUAGAAUAAGGAGUCAAUUUAUUGAAAAGAUGAUUUUAUAACUUUGAGUGUUUGGCUUUCUUGGUAAACAACCAUUUCAGCUACUAGAUACAGCAGAGUUCUUUCUCAUAUAGCGUGGUUCUGAAUUAUCUCAGCCUUCUACACAUACUUAGAUGGAACAGUUCCACACUGAAAAGGAAACUACAACUUAGCAAAGACAGGUAACACCUGUUAGUAUACCCAGAUGUCUGAAAUCUGUUGUAAUGUGUAAUUAAAAGGAAAUAAACUCCAAUACAACCUG